rnacentral:rRNA from 1 species
ACGCUGGCGGCGUGCUUCAUACAUGCAAGUCGAACGAGAAUCUCUAGCUUGCUAGAGAGGAAAGUGGCGGACGGGUGAGUAAUAUGUAGAGAAUCUGCCCUUGAGUGGGGGACAACAGAGGGAAACUCCUGCUAAUACCCCAUAUGAGCUAAGCUGGAAUGCUUAUCUUGAAAACUCCGGUGCUCAAGGAUGAGUCUGCAUCUGAUUAGCUAGUUGGCGGUGUAAUGGACCACCAAGGCGACGAUGCGUAGCCGAGCUGAGAGGCUAAACGGCCACAUUGGGACUGAGACACGGCCCAGACUCC